rnacentral:lncRNA from 1 species
UGUCUGAAUUUCUAAAUUAAUAAAAAUGAAAAACCCAGAAUGGAAUCAUGGGGAGAAACUCCAAUUAUUAUUAAUCAAGACUAUAGGAGUUGUUCAUCUAACCAAUCUCCAGCCCAGAUAACAGCCACAGCUUCUUUCGUAUUCUCCGCCACUCUCAGGACUCAGUAGGACUGAGGACUGAUCAAUCGUCGUCGGAGUCAUAAUCAUCAUCCUCACAUUAUCCUUUGCACUCACGAGGCAUAGAGAUAUGUCGAUGAUUAAUCUUCAACUUCGUCUUCUCGCUAAUCCCACCACAACCACUAACCAUUCUUCCUUAGCUACGCCGGUGGCGGCUCCUCCUUCCAAUUUCUCCUUCGCUUCUACUGCUACUGCCUCCGCCAAUUGCCUUAAAUCCACUUCCUUUCCAGGCAAGUCU